rnacentral:rRNA from 1 species
CGUAACAAGGUUUCCGUAGGUGAACCUGCGGAAGGAUCAUUACCGAGUGAGGGCCCUCUGGGUCCAACCUCCCACCCGUGUUUAUUUUACCUUGUUGCUUCGGCGGGCCCGCCUUAACUGGCCGCCGGGGGGCUUACGCCCCCGGGCCCGCGCCCGCCGAAGACACCCUCGAACUCUGUCUGAAGAUUGUAGUCUGAGUGAAAAUAUAAAUUAUUUAAAACUUUCAACAACGGAUCUCUUGGUUCCGGCAUCGAUGAAGAACGCAGCGAAAUGCGAUACGUAAUGUGAAUUGCAAAUUCAGUGAAUCAUCGAGUCUUUGAACGCACAUUGCGCCCCCUGGUAUUCCGGGGGGCAUGCCUGUCCGAGCGUCAUUUCUGCCCUCAAGCACGGCUUGUGUGUUGGGCCCCGUCCUCCGAUCCCGGGGGACGGGCCCGAAAGGCAGCGGCGGCACCGCGUCCGGUCCUCGAGCGUAUGGGGCUUUGUCACCCGCUCUGUAGGCCCGGCCGGCGCUUGCCGAUCAACCCAAAUUUUUAUCCAGGUUGACCUCGGAUCAGGUAGGGAUACCCGCUGAACUUAAGCAUA